AUAACUGUCGGUCACUGGGGAGAUGCAGAAGCUGAUGCUAAGCCUUGCGAGGUUUCGAUCGGCAUUCGGGGUAAUAAGUGCCUAUCGGGAUGUCGCGGCGGUUGUCACGAGCUCGAUGGAAGUUCCGGGGCGUGACAUUGAAUUUGAAGGAAGGGACAAAAAGAACAUUUUCUAAUAUCAACUUUUGGACAAGUGCAUUGUUCCGAUAUGUGACUAUGGCUUUGGUCUUAUUUGGCAUUUAUACAAAUAAAUUGUGGAAUGGUUUGGAAAUACUACAUUGAUACAAAGAGCAUGCAAUAUAAUCAGUACCUAUUGUGUUUAGGAUGCAUGUGUCACAAGUUUAGUAUAGCCGUAUGAUUUGAAAUAGAAUUAACAAGUGAAGAACAACUAUGUUUAGAAAUUAUACCUGUAAAAGCUGAGUUAAUAAAGGAAGGCUUACUUUACUGAUGGUUUGAUAUAAAAGAUUCUUUAACACCUUCUGUAUCUUUUUGUUCAGUGAUGAGUGCCAUUAACCUUUGAAUUUGACCUUUAGUCAGAAAGAAUUAUGGAUUUGGACUUGCCACUGCAUCUUCAAAUUCUUCAUGAACUGAAUUAUCAAUUGCACUGUUAGCAACUGCAACUCCUUUUUUGAAAUUUCCUUUAGAGUCAAUUUGAAAUCCUUUAGAAAUCUUAUGUUUCUAUAACAACUUUCCUUUAAAUGUCCCUUUUUCUC
rnacentral:lncRNA from 1 species